UCAAAGGGUCACUGAGAAAGGUUGGUGCUGAAUCUGAUCUUAAGAUAUUACUUGGGUCGUUGAGGAUGGCGAGCAAGCUCACGGAUCCUACGGUUAAGAUCGACCCGAAAUCCACCGUCGGCGGCGGCGUUGAGGAUGUAUACGGUGAGGACACUGCCACCGAGGACCAACUUAUCACCCCCUGGACUUACUCCGUUGCCAGGUCAUCAUCUCUUUUCAUUAAGUUACUUUUUACCGUCUGGUUUCAUAUAUAGAUCAUAGUAGCUGUGUCUGAUGAUGGAGGAUUGAGGUUCAGUAUAUCUGUUGUGGGCCCAGAAUUCUAUGAUCCCUUGUGAAGCAGUUCUGAAAUCUGAACCUUCCACUUUUAGUCUCUGAAAAGUGAAAACUGGAAAGUUUGCAGUUCUGAUGCUGUUUGUUUGUUUAUUUUCAAUAAAAAUUAGGAUUUUAAUAACAAAAACAAACAAUAUAUAUAUUUAUACAUGUAAGUUUUUUGGGAAAUGAAUGCGUUAGUAUUUCAUAUUCGAUUUCGAUAUAUCAUCAUGACCAGCACAUGACCACUUUUCAGUAUUUGAUCAGUUAAUGCUUGAUCGUUUUAUCGUCAGUAUUUGAUUUUAAUCGGUUCUGAGAUUUGUAAAUUAAUUAAUCAUUUCAAUCAACUUUCAAAGUUUUUAUAAUAGUAAUUUUUUUUUGACAAACGAUAGCGUUAGGAUUAGAUAGUUGUUAGGGAGAAGGAGAUGGAGAUCAAACUCAUACCAUAGUGCAUAAACAUAAUUACUUUCCGCGUGGUGAGGCGCGUUCUCAUUUGGAUCAAGCACCACUUUUUGUGAAAGUUACUUUUUUUUUUGUUUAAUUUUUGGUGUGUUUUUUUUAUGCAGUGGGUAUUCGUUGCUGAGAGAUCCUCAAUACAACAAAGGGCUAGCAUUUACAGAGAAAGAGAGGGACGCCCAUUACUUGCGCGGUCUUCUUCCUCCGGCAACUAUUUCUCAACAACUCCAGGUUUCAAUUUUCAUGACACUGCUUAGUAUUCAUCUUAAGUUGGUUUACAUAUAUGGUUAUGUUUUAACAACUCAAACAUGUUGUUAGCUCGGUUAGACCAGUUAGUCACGACAGUGUUCCCGCCACCUCUCACUCGAGUUUGAUUCCCCCUCCCCGCGAAUUAGAAUAGUUUAGAAUAUCGCUCAAAAAAUAAAAAUGUUGCUGGCUCAUUUAACAUGGUAUACUUCUGUUAACCAGGAGAAGAAGUUGAUGAAUACCAUCCGACAAUAUCAAGUCCCGUUGCAAAAAUAUAUGGCACUGACGGAACUCCAGGUACUUUUUCUUUUACCCGGAUUAGUUUAGUUUGACGUUGAUUUCGAGUUUAUUUCUUGAAGUUAAACGUUUCCAUAAGAUUGAAACUGUUUCAAGUGUGUUAUAUUUAUUGGUGCAAUGUGUUAAACAUUUAAGGAUGUAAAGGAUCAUUCAAUUGCUUUGUUUAACAGGA
rnacentral:lncRNA from 1 species